rnacentral:rRNA from 1 species
UACCAGCACCCCGAGUGGUCGGGACGAUUAUUGGGCCUAAAGCAUCCGUAGCCGGUUUUACAAGUCCUCCGUUAAAUCCAACUGCUUAACAGAUGGGCUGCGGAGGAUACUAUGGAGCUAGGAGGCGGGAGAGGCAAGCGGUACUUAGUGGGUAGGGGUAAAAUCCGUUGAUCCAUUGAAGACCACCAGUGGCGAAGGCGGCUCACUGGCCCGGUACUGACGCUGAGGUGCGAAAGCGUGGGGAGCAAACAGG